rnacentral:misc_RNA from 1 species
GAUGAAGAACGCAGCGAAAUGCGAUACUUGGUGUGAAUUGCAGAAUCCCGUGAACCAUCGAGUCUUUGAACGCAAGUUGCGCCCGAAGCCAUUAGGCCGAGGGCACGCCUGCCUGGGCGUCACACGUCGUUGCCCCCCCAUCUACUCCUUCGGGAUUGCGGGGGGCGGAUGAUGGCCUCUCGUGCGCCUCGUCGCGCGGUUGGCCUAAAUGCCAAGUCCUCGGCGACGCACGCCACGACAAUUGGUGGUUGCGAAACCUCGGUUGCCUGUCGUGUGCGGUCGUCGCGCAUCGAGGGCUCGAAAAAAUUGCCGGGCUUCGGCUCGACUUUCAACGCGACCCCAGGUCAGGCGGGGUUACCCGCUGAAUUUAAGCAUAUCAAUAAGCGGAGGA